rnacentral:misc_RNA from 1 species
ACCAUCAAUAAGCUUCUUUUCCCUCUCAUUUUCAGGUACGUCAUUGAACAUCCAAAGCUCUGAACCAGGUGCUAGAAAGGCAUCUAAUACCUAGACAAACAUAGAUCAGUGAACAGCACCAUUAAUCUUGUGGAGAAAAAGAAAAAAGAUUACAAAAGGAGCGAACUCUCCAUUGUCCACAAAAAGCAUGUGUAAGGAAAAUGUAGGGUGUAGGGAAAAUAUUGCAACUAAGGCUCCAUUUGUUACAAAGUAACAUUUGUUUCUGGAAACCUUCUUCAAAAAUAACUUAUUUUCCAUUGUU